rnacentral:rRNA from 1 species
UGAGGAAUGCGUCGGAAUCUACCCUAUGGUGGGGGAUAACACAGGGAAACUUGUGCUAAUACCGCAUGAUGUCGAGAGACCAAAGCAGGGGACCGCAAGGCCUUGCGCGAUAGGAUGAGCCGACGCCCGAUUAGCUAGUUGGUAGGGUAAAGGCCUACCAAGGCGACGAUCGGUAGCUGGUCUGAGAGGAUGAUCAGCCACACUGGGACUGAGACACGGCCCAGACUCCUACGGGAGGCAGCAGUGGGGAAUAUUGGACAAUGGGCGCAAGCCUGAUCCAGCAAUGCCGCGUGUGUGAAGAAGGCCUGCGGGUUGUAAAGCACUUUUGUUCGGGAAGAAAACGGAUCGGUUAAUACCCGGUUCGGAUGACGGUACCGAAAGAAUAAGCACCGGCUAACUUCGUG